ensembl:snRNA U2 U2 spliceosomal RNA
AUCGCUUCUCUGCCUUUUGGCUAAGAUCAAGUAUAGUAUCUGUUCUUAUCAGUGAAUUUUUUUUUUAUGGGCAGUGGUGGCCUAGCGGUGGUGGUGGCCCCGUAAUCAGAAGGUUGCCGGUUCAAAUCCUGAUCCGCCAAGGUACCACUGAGGUGCCACUGAGCAAAGCACCGUCCUCAC